rnacentral:rRNA from 1 species
GAGAGUUAAACAGUACGUGAAAUUGUUGAAAGGGAAACGAUUGAAGUCAGUCGUACCAACGGGAAAUCAAUUCAUCGAGUGUUGAAUUUGGGUCUUGAAGAGUCUUAAAACCUUUGGGUUCAGAUAUUUUCACUUUUUGAACGUAUUUUCUCGUACGGUAGGUUAACAUCGAUUUUGAACAUUAUAAAAUGAUCGGAGGAAUGUAGCUUCGAUCUUGUAUUGAAGUGUUAUAGCCUUUGGUAGAUGUAAUGAUCGAGAUCGAGGAUUGCAACGAAUACCCUUUUGGGCUAUCCGUCUGAUCUCUGAUACGUUGCCUCGGUAACGAAAGCGUGCUUACGGUAUUGAGGUAUUACGGUCAAAAGGUUAGAACGUGAUUACAUUCGUUAAGGAUGUUGACGUAAUGGCUUUAAACGA